rnacentral:rRNA from 1 species
UACAGAGGUCCCGAGCGUUGUUCGGAUUCACUGGGCGUAAAGGGUGCGUAGGUGGUGAGGUAAGUCGGAUGUGAAAUCUCCGAGCUCAACUCGGGAAAUGGCAUUGGAAACUACCUUGCUUGAGGGUUGGAGGGGGGACUGGAAUACUUGGUGUAGCAGUGAAAUGCGUAGAUAUCAAGUGGAACACCAGUGGCGAAGGCGAGUCCCUGGACAACUCCUGACACUGAGGCACGAAAGCUAGGGGAGCAAACAGG